CUGCUAGGGGGAUUAGUGGCGAACGGGUGAGUAACAUAUCGGAACGUACCUUGUAAUGGGGGAUAACUAGUCGAAAGAUUAGCUAAUACCGCAUACGCCCUGAGGGGGAAAGUAGGGGAUCUUCGGACCUUACGUUAUAAGAGCGGCCGAUAUCUGAUUAGCUAGUUGGUGGGGUAAUGGCCUACCAAGGCGACGAUCAGUAGCUGGUCUGAGAGGACGACCAGCCACACUGGAACUGAGACACGGUCCAGACUCCUACGGGAGGCAGCAGUGGGGAAUUUUGGACAAUGGGCGCAAGCCUGAUCCAGCCAUUCCGCGUGAGUGAAGAAGGCCUUCGGGUUGUAAAGCUCUUUCGCAAGGGAAGAAAACUUACAUUCUAAUAAAGUGUGAGGCUGACGGUACCUUGAUAAGAAGCACCGGCUAACUACGUGCCAGCAGCCGCGGUAAUACGUAGGGUGCGAGCGUUAAUCGGAAUUACUGGGCGUAAAGCGUGCGCAGGCGGUUUUGUAAGUCAGAUGUGAAAUCCCCGAGCUCAACUUGGGAACUGCGUUUGAAACUACAAGACUAGAAUAUGUCAGAGGGGGGUAGAAUUCCACGUGUGGCAGUGAAAUGCGUAGAGAUGUGGAGGAAUACCAAUGGCGAAGGCAGCCCCCUGGGAUAAUAUUGACGCUCAUGCACGAAAGCGUGGGGAGCAAACAGGAUUAGAUACCCUGGUAGUCCACGCCCUAAACGAUGUCUACUAGUUGUUGGUGGAGUAAAAUCCAUGAGUAACGCAGCUAACGCGUGAAGUAGACCGCC
rnacentral:rRNA from 1 species